GGCCAGCUGUGUUGAUAUUGUAUCUCAGAUGCUAUUUCUAUAACUGUUUGCAGAUGCUUUGAGUCGACCUGCUCUUGGUGAGAUGAUGCUUAAGAAGCACACAAGAAAGCUCACACUAUAAAAAAUCCAACUCACAAAAAGUUAGACUAAUGAUUAUAUUUUAGUUAACUGGACAAUUAAAUGUAAAAAUGUUGGCUUAACUAGAGAAAAGACAUUGGUUCAACAAUCGUUGGACCAACCUAAUAUUACUCGCAUCCAACGUGUUUCUUAAAGUCAUCGUUUUAUACUGAGCUCAAAGUCAGUGAAAAUCUGCACAUUUUUUCCUUGUGCCCUUCGAUGCCUGGCUAGGCUUUCUCACGUGUUUCCAGACUAACUCGACGGAGUCGACAAGACUGCAAACGUCUCAUUUAAAAACGCAAACCAUCCUGGAAGGUCUCCCUAUUUUUCUCUGUGAAGAUUCCUCUGCACUUUUUAAAACAUGCCUGGUAAGUAUGUUUCAUUACUUCAACAGAUAUACACCAUCUUGCAAUACAUGACCAUGAGUGACUAAUGGGAAUGUGAAUUUUUGUGUUAAAGGGAUGGUUAGGAGUAAUUUCAACCUGCGGUCCUUUGCACCAUGACCUCGAGCCAAAACCCCCACAGAAGCUUUUUUGCCCUUGGUCGAACAUUAUUAAAAGUAGAGCAUAUUUAGAGGGGGGUGUUUGACUCACGGUCAUGGUGCAAAGGACUUUAGGCUGAAAUUACUCCGAACCACCCCUUUAACAGCGAACAGAUUGUUUUAAAGAUUCAUUUGUUUUUUUUUAUUAAAAGUAUAUUUUUUGCAAAUACACCAUGAUUUAAUGAUUGGGAAUGCAAUUUGUUACAUUUAAUAAGCCGGCCACAGUCACCAAUCACUUAUAUUUUGUGAUAGAUUUUGCAAUGAAACUGAAUUAUGACUGAAAAUAUACCAUCUUGUUUGUUAUAAUUGCUUUUUUGUGGUAUAGCUUAUUCAGGGCAGUACUAAAUUGAAAAGAGCCAAUUGUAUUUUGUGUAUUUACUAUAUAAAAUGAUAAACAUCUUGCAGAUUCUGCAAGUGGGAUGCAAACUUUAGAGCACAUUGUAUAGGAUUACUUAAUAGUUUAUUUUUUGUUGUUGUUGUUGUUUGUUGGUGUCAAGUGAUACUGAUUUAUUCUUUUUUAUUAUUAUUAGGACGAGACUCCAGAGGACAGACAGACCAGAGGGAUGAAGGUGGGAAUCCUUAUUGUAAUUGAAGAUGAUGCCACCCCCACCACACUACCCAGUGUCAUAAAAUUUGCUGUUGUGUUGGAGGAGGUGAUUGUACUGAAAGAUGCUCCAGACUUGCAGUCUGCACUUGCAUACCUGUUCGGCCUUCUGUUUGCCUUGGACUUUGAGUACCCAAAGCAACUAAAAUACACUUUCGAGGUUAUUGAGAAGGUGUUCAUGAAGAUGGGCACUCACUGUUCUCCUAGGGUACAGUCCCUCAAAACUAAGCUAUUACUGUGACGUUGCAUUUGUGGGGUGUUUGUAUCUUAAGCAGUUAAGAUGCAAGUGAAUAGUAUUGUUGUUUUUUUGUUUUUUUUGCAAUGUGCUUGCAUUUUGUUUGACUUGUUUUUGGUUCAACUGUAAACUUGAGGUUGUGAAAAA
ensembl:lncRNA